CGGCCCAGACCAUGGGAGUGCGCCCUGCACCACUGCACCUCCUCCAAAUCCAGACCUGGUUCCGGGAAGUCCAGAGGGGAGACAGCUCACUGGGAAGCUCACCCCUCCAGCCGAGACUUCUUCCCCAGCAGAGCCUCACGGCGGGAUGACUGACAGCGGGCUUAGCCCCGCCCGCUGGGGGCGUGGCCUCGCCCUCCGCUCCGAGCAGGACUGGAACUGGUGCGUCUGGCCGUCUGGCCCGAGUUCAAGUGCGUGCGCUAACUCCCCCGCUCACUGCUUGGGGAGGAAGUGAAGGCUGGAAGAGCGACUCAGCAGCAGCGGGCCGAGGAGCAGGCAGACGCACGUGGCAGACCGGGGCCGCGUGAGAAGCCCUGGGACUCGUGCCGUGCCGUCGGCUUGCCAAACCCAGUCCUGGCAGGGGUGGGGUUCCCACCGAGAGAGAGGCCCUCGAAGGCGCGGGCCCACCUAAUUAAUUUCAAGUGUUUGGGGAAAUCAGAGAAAAAUUGCUGAAGACAAAUCCCAGACCUCCCAUUGGACAACUGCUCCCCCUGCUCAUGGUCCCCUUAAGUCUAGUUCCCAUGCAAAUGCGGGCCUCCAGCCCCUCUCCUCGUGGGGAGGAGCGGGGGAGGGCGCUCGGUCCACCCUCCCUCCCUGCCCGAAGCGGCCCCUGGAGGAGGUCUCCCCGCUCCGGGCCUCAGACUGGAAGAGCACGGCGCCCCAGGCUGCCAUUGUCCCCGUCCCCGGGGGCAAACAAAUGGAAUUAACCAACGUGGCUGGUGAAUUGCAAAGAUCGCCAGCGCUGGUGUGGGUUUUCACCAGGGACGUCUUCCGUAGGAGAAGGCGGCUCCAGAUUUCUCCCACCGUGGAGACUGGUAAAUGUUUUACACUUAUUUACAAGGCAGAGCAAUUAUGUAUAAUUAUUCCAUAAUGCAAACACAUUAUGAAUACUUACAGCACCCCUUCCCCCCCUCCUCCUAAGGAAUCUGGCUGAACUGUGUGUGGAAGAGAUUUUGUGUAAUUGAAAUUUGGAACAGGUGUAGGAAGGAGAAAGCACCGUCCGGAUGGAGCUGAAGGAAGCUGCAGUAAGGUCUUUUGUUAAAAUUGGAAAGCAGUCCUAGGAAGGACGGGGGAAGGACUCUGCCGUGGAAGAAACCAGCAGAGGAUCAAACACGAUGGGCGGAGAAAUGGAGCCCUCCAGUGAAGAGGUCCCCACGCCCCCAGGUACAGCACCGCCACUCCUAAAGUAUCUCCAUUCGCUCCCUGCUCCCUGGCCUGCCUUCCCGACUAGAAGGGAGAAUCUGGGGUCUUGCUCACCAGUGGGUCCUUGUAGUCACAGUACCCCCAGGAGGGCAAGGCACACAGUAGGCAGUCAAUAAAUGCCUGUUAAAUAAGCAAGC
rnacentral:lncRNA from 9 species